rnacentral:lncRNA from 1 species
GUCUAUGCAAUCCCUUCAUCAAUAUGCUUCUUGGCAUUCAGUCUUGAUUGUUUGAUUCAUCAUCAUUGAUUCGUCAACCAUCUUGAUCGUUUGCUAAGGCAUCUUCAUUGUUUGUCAUAUGUCAUACACUAAUAUAGUUGUUUGACAGUUGACUUCGUUGUUUGUCAUUCAUCAAAAAAUGCACUUGGAAAUCAUGCUAAUACAACCAAAGAACACAUAUCAAU